rnacentral:lncRNA from 10 species
UAAACAGGUUCGGCCAUGUUACUAAUGCUUUAGAGAAGCUAAUAAAAAACACAUGAGAUAUAAUUUGAUCUCAUUUAAUUGGUAAAACAAAGUCAAGAAAAACCAGAACAGUGAUCAACAGGGUUUCUAAUACAGUACUCAUUGAAGGAUAAAUUGAUACAAUCACUCUUUUCUUUUUUUGAGACCAAGUCUUGCUCCGUCACCCAGGCUGGAGUGCAGUGGUGCAAUCUCGGCUCACUGCAAGCUCCGCCUGCCGGGUUCACGCCAUUCUCCUGCCUCAGCCUCGCAGCAGCUGGGACAACAGGCACACGCCGCCACGCCCGACUAAUUUUUUUUUUUUUUUUUUUGUAUGUUUAGUAGAGACAGGGCUUCACCGUGUGAUACAAUCACUGUUUAAACAAUUUAGCAUUAUCUAUUAUGGUUGGAUAUCUAAUGAGGUUGCUAUGUUCCAGCAAUUCUUCUUCUGCUUACCCAAGAACAAUUCAUGCUUAUGUGCUCAAGAAUGAAAUUACAAGGUGAGGAUAAACAAAAUUUGGGAGUUAUCCUUGCGGGGUAGGCAGAAGGGUGAGAUAGAAGAAGAGCAUGUAAGUAGAUGCAAGUUAUUGGUAAAGCUCUUGUUCUUGGAUGGUAUGCUGAGUUUGUGGGUGCUCCCUACAUUAUUAAAAAUGAAACAAAAUAAAUAAGGGCUUUGUAGGAGCCAAUGAAAGGGGGUUUCAUGAGCCAAGGGUCAGAACUCAUUUAAUGACGAGCAUGCAGGGUCCAUAGGAGAAAAAAUAAUAAUAAUCCUUUGGCUUUUGUAAGUCAUAAGCUCUUUUUUUGCUGAGACCGGUAAGAUUUUAAAUUACAUUAAUUAUUACAAUUAUUAUCAUUAUUAUUAUUUGCUUCUCUGUGGCAACUUUUCUCUCCUAAGGCAUUGAAUGGAUUCCAUGAGGUGAAAAAAAAACCAUUGCUGGCAGCAAAACAAGCAUUUGGCUGGCAUAUGAAAAAACUAUUAAUAAUAAGAUGUGUAGAUGUACACUUUUAAGGGCUUUUCAUUUAAACAGAAUU